rnacentral:rRNA from 1 species
GAUGAACGCUGGCGGCGUGCCUAAUACAUGCAAGUCGAACGAGAGCACUUGUGCUCUAGUGGCGAACGGGUGAGUAACACGUAGGUAACCUGCCCUUAAGACGAGGAUAACCGUUGGAAACGAUGGCUAAGACUGGAUAGGAGCAUUAGAGGCAUCUCUGAUGUUUUAAAAGACCUAGCAAUAGGUAUGCUUAAGGAGGGGCCUGCGGCGCAUUAGUUAGUUGGUGAGGUGAAGGCUUACCAAGACGAUGAUGCGUAGCCGGACUGAGAGGUUGAACGGCCACAUUGGGACUGAGAGACGGCCCAAACUCCUACGGGAGGCAG